rnacentral:rRNA from 1 species
GGCUACCCGCUGAGUUUAAGCAUAUCAUA